rnacentral:rRNA from 1 species
GAGUUUGUAUCGUGGCUCAGGACGAACGCUGGCGGCGCGCUUAACACAUGCAAGUCGAGCGAGAACCAGGGCCUUCGGGCCUGGGACAGCGGCGAACGGGUGGAGUAACACGUGGGUAAUCAACCCUCGAUACUGGGAUAGCCCGGGGAAACCCGGAUUAAUACCGGAUGGCCCUUUGGAUCUUCGGAUCUGACGGAAAAGGUAGCUUCGGCCUCCGAUCGAGGACGAGCCCGCGGCGGAUUAGCUUGUUGGUGAGGUAACGGCUCACCAAGGCGACGAUCCGUAGCUGGUCUGAGAGGACGAUCAGCCACACUGGGACUGAGACACGGCCCAGACUCCUACCGGGAGGCAGCAGUGGGGAAUCUUGCGGCUAAUGCGGGAAACCGUGACGCAGCGACGCCGCGUGAGGGAAGAAGGCCUCGGUUGUAACGUACUUUCUAGAGGACGAAG